UACGGGGGGGGCAAGCGUUGUUCGGAAUUACUGGGCGUAAAGGGCUCGUAGGUGGCCAACUAAGUCGGACGUGAAAUCCCUCGGCUUAACCGGGGAACUGCGUCCGAUACUGGUUGGCUUGAGUUUGGGAGAGGGAUGCGGAAUUCCAGGUGUAGCGGUGAAAUGCGUAGAUAUCUGGAGGAACACCGGUGGCGAAGGCGGCAUCCUGGACCAACACUGACGCUGAGGAGCGAAAGCCGGGGGAGCAAACGGG
rnacentral:rRNA from 1 species